GACGAACGCUGGCGGCGUGCUUAACACAUGCAAGUCGAACGGAAAGGCCCCUUUGGGGGUACUCGAGUGGCGAACGGGUGAGUAACACGUGAGUAACCUGCCCUUGACUUCGGGAUAACUUCAGGAAACUGGGGCUAAUACCGGAUAGGAAUCCUUGCUGCAUGGUGGGGGUUGGAAAGCUUCGGCGGUUUUGGAUGGACUCGCGGCUUAUCAGCUUGUUGGUGGGGCAGUGGCGUACCAAGGCUUUGACGGGUAGCCGGCCUGAGAGGGCGACCGGCCACAUUGGGACUGAGAGACGGCCCGGACUCCUACGGGAGGCAGCAGGGGGGAAUAUUGCACAAUGGGCGGAAGCCUGAGGCAGCAACGCCGCGGGCGGGAUGACGGCCUUCGGGUUGGAAACCGCUUUCAGCAGGGGCGAAGCUUGUGGUGACGGUACCUGCAGAAGAAGCACCGGCUAACUACGUG
rnacentral:rRNA from 1 species